GUUCCUCUUUUAGUUCCUGUACUGGAACAUUUUGGUUAAAGGGCUUUAUGUUUUUCUUUAAUGGGUUUAAUCUUCUGAACUGUAUGUUUUUCAGAACCUCCUGUGGAAUCUGAGUAUACUACUGUCACAAAACCUGACGGAGUAUCUGAGGAGAUCAGAGAGGAGGACAGACGAGGUUUACACUUGUGGCAAAUAUGCCAAACCAAAUGGAGUUGAGACCACAGACGACUAUAGCUUUGUCACUGCGGCAAGUUCUAAGAAGACAACUGAAGAUGACUCGAAUAAACUCACCUAUUUUCAGGUGGAUUUUUCCAAUGGUACAGCUGCCUUGCUCAACAGCGCCCGCUGUGGUCAUGCAGAUAAUGUCGUCUACUCUGUGCCUCAGGUAGAAGCUAGCUCGGAUGGCAGCCAUGCUGAAGACGCUUCUCCUCCUCCUCUGUACUCUGCUGUUAUUUUACAUCAGCAAUAGCUCCAUGUAGGCCAACAGGUGAACACACAAUACAAUAAAAAUUCAAAUUAGAGCUACUUUUACUGCUUUAUUUAGUUCAGCUUAUCUUAAAUAUUUUGGUUAAGUAAAUCGUUUGUAAAGAACAAGUUACUGUCAAAGGUCCAGUGUGUAAUAUUUCUGAGGAUCUAGUGACAGAAAUGCAAUAUUACAUCCAUAACUAUGUUUCCAGGCCUUACAUAAUGAAACGAAUGAGCCAUUUUUAUCUACAUAACCGCGGGUCCCCCCUGAAAUGGACAUCGCCAUCUUGCACUGCUGUGUUUCUUGGCCAAAACGAACAAACAGCGCUACAAAGCGCGUUUCGUCAUUACGUUCUUCUUCUUGUAGAAUUCUGGAAAUGCAGACACUGAUCACUACAUUGAAUACGUAUGUUCAAAGAAGAAGAAGUAGUAGUAAAAAUAUACAGCAGGGGUGGGUUGUAGUUUCAUUUUGCAAAACUUCUUUUGCUCAGAUGGCCUUUUCUGUGAAAGGAGCAAAGUGUUGGAACUUGCUACCUAAACACUUAAACUGCUUCAAACUUCACCACUUUUAAAAGAGAGGCCAAGUCCUGAUUGGUUCACCCACACACUUGUACUCUCGCCUAGUCUAUUGUAGUUAGUGAUACAUGUUUUUCAUUGCAUUUUGAUUUACUCAUUUUACCUCCUUUUAUCUUGUGUUAUGCUGUAAUGUAUUGUAUUAUACUUUUUUCUCUUUCUUUUUCAUCACUGUUUUAAUGUUUUAUUUCUUUAAAAGCCUUUCUAGGGACAGCUGUUCCAAAUUAGCAACUGCUGAAAACACUAUGGUGCACACAUAGGAUUGCUGUUUUCAGUUUUAUCUAUGUUAGAUGUAUCGGUCCCAAAUAAAUAAACCAUAAAUAACUAA